UUUACAAUUGAAACUAAAUAGAAUGCCUCCAAGGGGCGCAAGCACACGAGUACUAAAAAGAAAUGUUUAAGUCUAAACUAAGAAAUUGAAAUUACAUAUUCUCUGUUUGAGAGUGUUUGAUUCGGGGUCUUUUGCUCUAUAUCUUCUCUUCCUUUUAUAUUCCUUUGAUGAUUUCUUCGUGAUCAACGGCUUAGAAAUUGCUUGAUUGCUUUAUAAC
rnacentral:lncRNA from 1 species